UUGGGGGGGGGACAUUUAGAACCCUCAGAGAGUCACUCUGCGGUUGGAGGUUCCUUUAUUUUGGCAGCUACCUGCAGGGUCCCCGGUGAUUGACAGCAGCUGGUGCUCCACGCGUUACGCGGAUGAUGAAGCGAAGCUUCUCUCUCGCCGCCGCCCAGCAGGGUCGCCCGCCAACCGAAGCACGCGUAUCACACAGCUGGGACUUUCAGACUUCCGCAGGUUCACGGUUCAAAUUCCUGCCUUGAAAUCUUGAAGGCUUCUCUCACCCUUGAAGAGCUUCUAUACCAUUGUUGCUGCGGGAACAAGGCUGUGGGAUUUCCUCUGGCCCGAGUAUCACAGCAAUCAGAGCUGAGGAAAGGGACACAGCUGGAGAAGGAGAGGUGGCCUUGGGCAGGGAGGGAGGUAGAGAGAGGCAGAGAGAGAGAACAUUUGAUGGCGCCCCCUGGUGGAAAAGUUAUUAACAGUCUGGAAGCUGUGAAUGAACACAUUACAUAAUUGUGUGGCUUUAUUACAGACGUCGGGAAAGUCCCCUGCAGAACUGGAUAUAUGUUACUGCAAAAUAGAAAUGGGUUGGCGAAUUCAUCCAUCCAUUUCUUGUAAAAAAAGAAAUAAAAUCACUUGUGUAUAAAUAAUAUAUGGUAAAUAAACAAACAAUUGCAUAAAUAUAGAAGGGAAAAUAAGGCUGAGAGAUAUAGGACCUACCCAAGAGCUCUGGAUACAAGUCCAGGUGUGCUGUACUGAACGGUCUGCAGCUGAACCAAAUCAGCCAAGAUUGCCUAGUUCUGGUAACUAAAACAAACGCAAACAACAGCACCGUAGUUAUGUGGGUCAGAGUUCUGUGAAUCAAUAAGCAAAAGUACUUAUAAUUUGGCAAAACAAUUGGACAAGUGUUGCAAGGCUUGCAGGUUAAACAAUGUCCCUAUUCUAAACAAUUCUCUUGGACGGCGGUGAGAAGCCAGCCUCCUUGUGGUAGAAAAAGAAGUACAGUCACAAAGACUUUGACAAAUACAUUCAUACAUUAAUACUAAUACUUUAAUACUUUCCCUUCUUUGGGUAGGGGAUAAAAUAACGUGUACAUUAUUUAAAUUACUACAGCAAUGUUGAUUUAACUCACUGGCGAAAUAGUAAAAAAAAAAAAAAAAAAGUGACAGGCAUUGGUCAAUCAUUAUUAUUAGAACGGAGAAGGAACCUCCCGCCGUCAGGAUGAUUCACAGUUGCGAAGCAGCGUUUAGCUGCCGGGCUAGCAUUUAUCUUCGCCACCGCUGGGGCGGGAUUGUGAAAUAUUCACCGGGUGACAGCGGCGGCGUUUCGGAAGUCCGAUCCGCGGACUCGGUAUCUCAGUAUGUGUUCUGACUGAGCAAGUAUGUCUCUCGCAAAUGUAGCGUAUUUCAAAUUAGAUUACAGGGUCUCCCCCAUUUUCUCUGUCAUCCUUAACGCCGGAAAGUGGAAAUCGCCUUCGACAGGAGAUUAAUUGCCUUACACGGAAGAUUGAAGAUCCGCCUAAUCUUCCUGAAGAUCAGCACCAUCGAUGGCAAGCCUGGACUCAGAGAGGUACAGAGUCCAGUAGGAAGCUUCCACCUCUUUCACACACCAAACCUGGCCAGGGGGGUUGAUGUGGGAUACCGAACACGGGUUCGACCCGCGUUUGACCCGUUCGCACCACGCUAUGGUCACGGGUAAGUACCAGGUCCUCACUAUUCACACAAGAACUGCAAGUUUAAUUCCAAGCGCGUCACUGCUGAACAGGGCAGUCGCGUUUCGACACCGCUAACGCCGUCGUUAGCUACC